rnacentral:rRNA from 1 species
GAUGAACGCUGGCGGCGUGCCUAAUACAUGCAAGUCGAGCGAACAGACGAGGAGCUUGCUCCUCUGACGUUAGCGGCGGACGGGUGAGUAACACGUGGAUAACCUACCUAUAAGACUGGGAUAACUUCGGGAAACCGGAGCUAAUACCGGAUAACAUGUUGAACCGCAUGGUUCAACAGUGAAAGACGGUCUUGCUGUCACUUAUAGAUGGAUCCGCGCCGCAUUAGCUAGUUGGUAAGGUAACGGCUUACCAAGGCAACGAUGCGUAGCCGACCUGAGAGGGUGAUCGGCCACACUGGAACUGAGACACGGUCCAGACUCCUACGGGAGGCAGCAGUAGGAAAUCUUCCGCAAUGGGCGAAAGCCUGACGGAGCAACGCCGCGUGAGUGAAGAAGGUCUUCGGAUCGUAAAACUCUGUUAUUAGGAAAGAACAAAUGUGUAAGUAACUAUGCACGUCUUGACGGUACCUAAUCAGAAAGCCACGGCUAACUACGUG